GCGGACGUGGCGAAAUCGGUAGACGCAGCGGACUUAAAAUCCGCUUCUCUGGGAGAGUGCGGGUUCGAGUCCCGCCGUCCGCACCA
rnacentral:tRNA from 1 species